rnacentral:tmRNA from 1 species
GGGGGUGACUUGGCUUCGACAGGAGUAGAGUGGUCACGGUGGCAUGUCGCUUUGAGCAAAGCGUUAAAAGCUCAAAUUAAAAUUAAACGCAAAUAACGUUAAAUUCGCUCCUGCUUACGCAAAAGUAGCGUAAGUUCAGUUGAGCCCACUAACUUUUGAUACUAUCUAGAAAGUUUUAGUGGUCAUUUUGAUAGUGUAGUUUAGAUGUUUGACGAACAUUUAAGUGAAAUUUUAGUCUUAGUCUAAGAUUUUGGUUUUUGAAAAGUGAGCCUUUUUAGAUGAAAUUUUCACUUUUGCUAAGCAUGUAGAGGCUUUGGUCUUUUGCUUUUGGACUGCGGUUCGACCCCGCACACCUCCACCA